CGGCGCGCCUAACACAUGCAAGUCGAACGGACGUGUUUUCUCUGAGGUUUUCGGAUGGAAGAGAGUUCAGCUUAGUGGCGAACGGGUGAGUAACACGUGAGCAACCUGCCUUUCAGUGGGGGACAACAUUUGGAAACGAAUGCUAAUACCGCAUAAGACCACAGUGUCGCAUGGCACAGGGGUCAAAGGAUUUAUCCGCUGAAAGAUGGGCUCGCGUCCGGUUAGCUAGAUGGUGAGGUAACGGCCCACCAUGGCGACGAUCGGUAGCCGGACUGAGAGGUUGAACGGCCACAUUGGGACUGAGACACGGCCCAGACUCCUACGGGAGGCAGCAGUGGGGAAUAUUGCACAAUGGGGGAAACCCUGAUGCAGCGACGCCGCGUGGAGGAAGAAGGUCUUCGGAUUGUAAACUCCUGUCCCAGGGGACGAUAAUGACGGUACCCUGGGAGGAAGCACCGGCUAACUACGUGCCAGCAGCCGCGGUAAAACGUAGGGUGCAAGCGUUGUCCGGAAUUACUGGGUGUAAAGGGAGCGCAGGCGGAUUGGCAAGUUGGGAGUGAAAUCUAUGGGCUCAACCCAUAAAUUGCUUUCAAAACUGUCAGUCUUGAGUGGUGUAGAGGUAGGCGGAAUUCCCGGUGUAGCGGUGGAAUGCGUAGAUAUCGGGAGGAACACCAGUGGCGAAG
rnacentral:rRNA from 1 species